GGCUUCGUGGCCCAAUGGCAAGGCGUUUGACUACGAAUCAAGAGAUUCUGGGUUCGACCCCCAGCGAGGUCA